UUGGACCCACCUAGGCAAUCCAGGGUAAUCUCAUUUUAUAAGAUUCUUAACAGGCCAUGGAUUCUGGGUAACCAGCCCUGACUGACCUGCUUUUGGCCAGGUUAAACACGGAUUUCAUCUACUCCUCUUUCUUCAGAGGCCGCCAAGUCUCUGUGAUGCUCUCUGCAAACACUAAAUCCUCAGUUCUGGGUACAUAACUUUGCUGGAGAUGACUGCUUUAGGAGGAUGAGUAUUAUCUUGCUUCCUAAAAAGGGUGGAUGUGAGCGCACCAGUGCUAUGGAAAUCUUGUGUGUCCUAUUAGUCUUUGGGCUCUUUAUAAAGUGAGAGAUUGACAUUAAACUAAUAUAAAUUCUGAGGUCCUGAAAGAACCACACUCUUUCCUGGAAAAGCAGCAAGGCUGCACAUGCGCAAAGAACCUCCCUUCUCCCGAGGUUCCUAGAGUCCCACAUACCACCACUAAUAAGCUGAAUAGUAAAUUGUGGAGAAUAGCUUUCAAGCUUUAAUUUUAAGGUAAGAAUUUUGAACUUUGGCCUUUUAGCUCAUACGGAUAAUGACAUUUAUCUAUAAAAUUUAAUUUCUCUAGAUUUUAAUAUUUAUAGAUUUUCAUUUAAGAGGAGGCUUUAUUUAUGGAUUUUAUCCUUUCUUCCUAGGACUAUGAUCAUUGAAAGAAUGUUAUAUUUACAUUUGGGAAAUCUCUAAGUUGUUGGAAUUGUGCUAGUGGGAUUUCUAUGCAUUUCAUUAUUGGAUAUCGUUUGAUCUCUGAAAGACUAUGUUGGAUAACCCCGGACAUCAGGAGUACAAAGGUGCCUGUCGUUAUAGAAGAAUUUCCUAAAGACUCCCUUACCAAGACUCAAUUGUAAAACUGAGAUAAUUGCUCUAGGGCAAAAGAAAAAUCCUGUGGAACAGCAAAGGGUGGGAAUUCCACUAGAAAUGUUCUCCUCUAGGAUCAGACAGAGCCACUGGACGAUAUCUCUGAAAUGGGAUACCCACUGUAGUGUAUAAUUUAGCCAUCUCAAGAAAAGAAGACAGUAGGGUUUAGAGACCAACAGGAAAUCUAAACAAAGACAACUCACUUAACUGUGAAAUUGGUUGCUUGAUGGCUGGUGUGUCUCGACUGAAUCCACAUGUAAUCAUGCAUGGGAAUGGAAGAAUUUAGAAAAAAAAAAUAAGGGUAAGAAAUAGGUUACAUUUAUGCCUGACUUUAUGAAAAGAAACCAUGUGUAAAUUAGAUAACUCCUGGAGUUCAUAAUUUUUUAUAAGCUUUUAUAGGUUUUCUUUCUUUCUUUCAAGUCUAAUGGAUUCUUUAGGCUAUUUACACAUUGUUGAGACCACCUCUGAAUGUCACUGUCAAAAUUGAAGGGCUUCACUUCAUUAAUUUUAGCAAAACCUUUUCUUGAAUAUGUGUAGUAAGACAUUUUUCAUAGGAUGCUAUCAUCUCAAUCUUGAAGUGGACAAAAUGGAAAAUUAAUCUACUGAAGUAAAACACAAGUUGAGAAGAAAUUCACCUUUUAUUCCUCAUCAAAGGAACUGGAAAAAACUCAGGUAAAGCAAAAAGAAGUCAAAGAAAAUGACAUCAUUGACCCUUGGGAGAAAAUAUAGCUAAUUUGUGCUCUAUCCAUACCUAUCAAAUGUUAACUGAUGUAAAACUUUAAACAUUAACUUUAAAAAUUAGUUUUCCAGCAUACUCAGAAAAAAAAAAUGAGACAGAAGGUUUGAUAGCUUUUUAACUUAAUGUCUAACAAAGAUGAGUUGAUAUGUUGUAACUGACAUUUCUUUAAUAAAGCUCAUGCAUAGUGUUAACA
rnacentral:lncRNA from 1 species